AUCCUAGCCGUAACGAUGUCAACUAGCUGUGGGAGGUAUCGACCCCUCCCGUGGCGACGCUAACGCAUUAAGUUGACCGCCUGGGGAGUACGGCCGCAAGGUUAAAACUCAAAGGAAUUGACGGGGCCCGCACAAGCGGUGGAGCAUGUGGUUUAAUUCGACGCUACGCGAAGAACCUUACCUGGGCUCGAACGACUGGUAGUAGUCCGGUAGAAAUACUGGGCGACCCGCAAGGGAGCCAGCCGAGGUGCUGCAUGGUUGUCGU
rnacentral:rRNA from 1 species